rnacentral:rRNA from 1 species
UUCGCAAUGCCCGAAAGGGUGACGAAGCGACGCCGCGUGGGUGAGGAAGGCCUUCGGGUUGUAAAGCCCUGUCAGGAGUUAAGAAAUGUAGACUCGCUAAUAUCGGGUCUAUUUGACAAAGGCUCCAAAGGAAGCCACGGCUAACUCUGUGCCAGCAGCCGCGGUAAUACAGAGGUGGCAAGCGUUGUUCGGAAUUAUUGGGCGUAAAGAGCACGUAGGUGGGUUUGUAAGUCAGAUGUGAAAGCCUUCUGUUCAACGGAAGAAUUGCAUCUGAAACUGCAAGUCUUGAGUGUAGGAGGGGAGAAUGGAACUUCUGGUGGAGCGGUGAAAUGCGUAGAUAUCAGAAGGAACGCCGGCGGCGAAAGCGAUUCUCUGGCCUAUUACUGACACUCAGUGCGCGAAAGCUAGGGGAGCAAACAGGAUUAGAUACCCUGGUAGUCCUAGCUGUAAACGAUGGGCACUAAGUAGAGGGGUUUU